UCCCUCGUGGCUUAGAGGGUAAAGCGUCUGCCUGCAAUGCAGGAGACCCGGGUUCAAUCCCCGAGUCGGGAA
rnacentral:tRNA from 1 species